UAUCAUGAUGAACAAGAGCCAUGUGCUCGAAAUAAUCCCAGCUCGUCGACAGCAGUCUCGCUUUAUAUCUCACGUUAGAGACUGCUAUGAGAGAAAGUCCAACCCUGAUUU
rnacentral:snoRNA from 1 species